rnacentral:rRNA from 1 species
GCUGAGAAACGGCUACCACAUCCAAGGAAGGCAGCAGGCGCGCAAAUUACCCAAUCCCGACACGGGGAGGUAGUGACAAUAAAUACUGAUACAGGGGCUCUUUUGGGGUCUUGUAAUUGGAAUGAGUACAAUUUAAACCUCUUAACGAGGAACAAUUGGAGGGCAAGUCUGGUGCCAGCAGCCGCGGUAAUUCCAGCUCCAAUAGCGUAUAUUAAAGUUGUUGCAGUUAAAAAGCUCGUAGUUGAAACUUGGGCCUGGCUGGCGGGUCCGCCUCACCGCGUGCACUCGUCCGGCCGGGCCUUCCUUCUGAAGAACCUCAUGCCCUUCACUGGGCGUGCUGGGGAAUCAGGACUUUUACUUUGAAAAAAUUAGAGUGUUCAAAGCAGGCCUUUGCUCGAAUACGUUAGCAUGGAAUAAUAAAAUAGGGCGUGCGUUUCUAUUUUGUUGGUUUCUAGAGACGCCGCAAUGAUUAACAGGAACAGUCGGGGGCAUCAGUAUUCAGUUGUCAGAGGUGAAAUUCUUGGAUUUACUGAAGACUAACUACUGCGAAAGCAUUUGC